rnacentral:rRNA from 1 species
GGGUCAGUAGGUUGGUCGUGCCACCGGUACGUACUGGUCUCACUGAUUCCUCCUUCCCGAAGAACCGUAAUGCCAUUAAUUUGGUGUUGCGGGGAAACAGGACUGUUACUUUGAGAAAAUUAGAGUGUUUAAAGCAAGCUAACGCUUGAAUACAUUAGCAUGGAAUAAUGAAAUAGGACGAUCGAUCCUAUUUUGUUGGUUUCUAGGAUUGACGUA